rnacentral:pre_miRNA from 1 species
AUGUGACCUGUGGGCUUCCCUUUGUCAUCCUUUGCCUAGGGCUCUGAGUGGGGCAGGGACAGCAAAGGGGUGCUCAGUCGUCACUUCC